GCAGGAGCAAAAGGAGCAAACAAUUUUCAACGCCACCAUCGCAAGCAGCAACCUGCGGACCAGCUGCCACCUGAACUCGGGAUAAUUAUUCCUCCUGAAAGGAACGUGCGGAUCGGAGCAGACCCCGGACCUACUAGUAAUCCCGAGAGUAAUCCAGCCUCGUUCUGAAGGAAAUAUAAUCUUGAAGGUUUCCCAGGAAGGAGUGGAGCCGAUAAUGGACCGAGACGGGUCCGCAGCGCAGGAGCCGCGUGAAUGCGGAAGUGAACAGCCGGAUGGAAAGAAUGUGUGAAUGUUGAAAGAUCCGAUGAAUGUGCACGGAACUAAUCACUGGCGACUGUAGGAGGUGCACCAAGCUGCUUCGGCGACAAUUCCUUCAACAGGAUGUUUGGACAACUCAGUUGGUCAGACUCGUCAUCUCCAAGUUGUGCUAUUUUGGGACGGUUCCUCGUCACAUUCAGGAAGUGGGAAAAUAAUAUUUUCACCUGUCGCCACUGAAUUUGAAUUGAAAUAUAUACAUCAACAAAAGUGACUUGAUACGGUAAGCUAAAUUUGUAAGCAUUUCAAUGAUGGGGCUAUAUUGUUCGUGCAGUUGAAAAUCGGAAUUUUUGACACGCGAAAAUAGAUUUUUCUCCUAAACCGUGUGUCGGACGUACGUCGGGCACAGUGCGCUGGAUAAAGGGCCAGGUCCGCUAUCCAGCGCACUACGUCCGACGUUAGGUUUCACGUAUGGAUUUUGAGAAAAUUCGAUUGUCGGGUGUGGGGAAACUUCGGGUUUCAACCGCGACGACAAUAUUUGAAGCACUUGGAUGAACUGCCAGCAUUCCAAUGCACAUUUUACAAUUCAAAUUCAGUGGCUACAAAUAAUUACAAGUUUAUUCCCAUUUAGUGUAACAACGAAAUGAUUUUGAUUGUACCCAAUAUUUUCCAGUGUUUAUUAUAAAUAUACUAGGUAUUUAAAUUAA